rnacentral:rRNA from 1 species
ACGGUCCAGACUCCUACGGGAGGCAGCAGUGGGGAAUAUUGCACAAUGGGGGAAACCCUGAUGCAGCGACGCCGCGUGAAGGAAGAAGUAUUUCGGUAUGUAAACUUCUAUCAGCAAGGAAGAUAAUGACGGUACUUGACUAAGAAGCCCCGGCUAACUACGUGCCAGCAGCCGCGGUAA